GACGAACGCUGGCGGCGUGCCUAAUACAUGCAAGUCGAGCGGAUGAGGAAGAAGCUUGCUUCUUCUGAUUUAGCGGCGGACGGGUGAGUAACACGUGGGCAACCUGCCCUGUAGAUUGGGAUAACUCCGGGAAACCGGGGCUAAUACCGAAUAAUCCAUUUCCUCACAUGGGGAGAUGUUAAAAGACGGUCUCGGCUGUCACUACAGGAUGGGCCCGCGGCGCAUUAGCUAGUUGGUGAGGUAACGGCUCACCAAGGCGACGAUGCGUAGCCGACCUGAGAGGGCGACCGGCCACCCUGGGACUGAGACACGGCCCAGACUCCUACGGGAGGCAGCAGUGGGGAAUAUUGCGCAAUGGGCGAAAGCCUGACGCAGCGACGCAGCGUGAGGGAAGAAGGCCUUCGGGUCGUAAAGCUCUGUUGUUAGGGAAGAACAAGUACGAGAGUAACUGCUCGUACCUUGACGGUACCUAACCAGAAAGCCACGGCUAACUACGUGCCAGCAGCCGCCGUAACAC
rnacentral:rRNA from 1 species